CAGUAGCCCGGGAAUACAGAGGGUGCGAGCGUUAAUCGGAUUUACUGGGCGUAAAGCGUGCGUAGGCGGCUUCUUAAGUCGGAUGUGAAAUCCCUGAGCUUAACUUAGGAAUUGCAUUCGAUACUGGGAAGCUAGAGUAUGGGAGAGGAUGGUAAAAUUCCAGGUGUAGCGGUGAAAUGCGUAGAGAUCUGGAGGAAUACCGAUGGCGAAGGCAGCCAUCUGGCCUAAUACUGACGCUGAGGUACGAAAGCAUGGGGAGCAAACAGGAUUAGAUACCCGUGUAGUCCCUGUCUCUUAUACC
rnacentral:rRNA from 1 species